GAUGAACGCUGGCGGCGUGCCUAACACAUGCAAGUCGAGCGAGAUCUUCUGGAACGAAACUUCGGUCUAGCGAAGGAAGUGGAAGCGGCGGACGGGUGAGUAACGCGUAGGCAACCUGCCCCAUACAGAGGGAUAGCCUCGGGAAACCGGGAUUAAAACCUCAUAACGCGAUCUGGUCACAUGGCCGGAUCGCCAAAGAUUUAUCGGUAUGGGAUGGGCCUGCGUCUGAUUAGCUAGUUGGUGAGGUAACGGCUCACCAAGGCGACGAUCAGUAGCCGACCUGAGAGGGUAAUCGGCCACAUUGGAACUGAGACACGGUCCAAACUCCUACGGGAGGCAGCAGUGGGGAAUAUUGCACAAUGGGCGAAAGCCUGAUGCAGCAACGCCGCGUGAGGGAAGAAGGCUUUCGGGUUGUAAACCUCUGUCCUUGGUGACGAAACAAAUGACGGUAGCCAAGGAGGAAGCCCCGGCUAACUACGUGCCAGCCGCCGCAGUAAAAC
rnacentral:rRNA from 1 species